UUAAAGAGUUCUAUAACUCCCAAACCCAUGUGAACAUACCUAACGUUGCCUCGGCAGGUCGCACCUACCUUGUAGCACCCUACCCUGUAGGGCCUACCCGGGAGGUGCGGGUAAGCCUGCCGGCGGCCCACCAAACUCUGUUUGAUAUUGAAUUCUGAACCUAUAACUAAAUAAGUUAAAACUUUCAACAACGGAUCUCUUGGUUCUGGCAUCGAUGAAGAACGCAGCGAAAUGCGAUAAGUAAUGUGAAUUGCAGAAUUCAGUGAAUCAUCGAAUCUUUGAACGCAUAUUGCGCCCAUUAGUAUUCUAGUGGGCAGGACCGUUCGAGCGUCAUUUCAACCCUUAAGCCUUCGUUGCUUAGUGUUGGGAGCCUACGGCAACGUAGCUCCUCAAAGUUAGUGGCGGAGUUGGUUCACACUCUAGACGUAGUAAUUUUUUAUCUCGCCUAUUAGUUGGACUAAUCCCCUGCCGUAAAACCCCCAAUUUAUCAAGGUUGACCUCGAAUCGGUUCAGACAAACUCGCUAAAUUGAAGCAUCUUAGUCAGCGAAGGAAAAGAAACCAACAGGGAUUGCCCUAGUAACGGCGAGUGAAGCGGCAACAGCUCAAAUUUGAA
rnacentral:rRNA from 1 species